rnacentral:rRNA from 1 species
CCUACGGGAGGCAGCAGUGAGGAAUAUUGGUCAAUGGCCGCAAGUCUGAACCAGCCAAGCCGCGUGCAGGACGACGGUGCUAAGCAUUGUAAACUUCUUUUGUCAGGGGACAAAAUCAGGCUCGAGAGCCUGACCGAGGGUACUGUAAGAAAAAGCAUCGGCUAACUCCGUGCCAGCAGCCGCGGUAAUACGGAGGAUGCGAGCGUUAUCCGGAUUUAUUGGGUUUAAAGGGUGCGUAGGCGGUCUGUUAAGUUAGAGGUGAAAGGCCGGGGCUCAACCCCGGCGGAGCCGUUAAUACCGGUGGUCUAGAGAAGUGGAGAGGUAGGCGGAAUGCGUAGUGUAGCGGUGAAAUGCUUAGAUAU